rnacentral:rRNA from 1 species
CCUACGGGAGGCAGCAGUGAGGAAUAUUGGUCAAUGGACGCAAGUCUGAACCAGCCAUGCCGCGUGCAGGAUGACGGCUCUAUGAGUUGUAAACUGCUUUUGUACGAGGAUAAACCCCGAUACGUGUAUCGUGUUGAAAGUAUCGUACGAAUAAGGAUCGGCUAACUCCGUGCCAGCAGCCGCGGUAAUACGGAGGAUCCGAGCGUUAUCCGGAUUUAUUGGGUUUAAAGGGUGCGUAGGCGGUUUGAUAAGUUAGAGGUGAAAUGUCGGGGCUCAACCCCGAAACUGCCUCUAAUACUGUUGGACUAGAGAAUAGUUGCGGUAGGCGGAAUGUAUGGUGUAGCGGUGAAAUGCUUAGAGAUCAUACAGAACACCGAUUGCGAAGGCAGCUUACCAAACUAUAUCUGACGUUGAGGCACGAAAGCGUGGGUAGCAAACAGGAUUAGAUACCCCAGUAGUC